UACGUAGGGUGCGAGCGUUAAUCGGAAUUACUGGGCGUAAAGCGUGCGCAGGCGGUUUUGUAAGUCUGACGUGAAAGCCCCGGGCUUAACCUGGGAAUUGCGUUGGAGACUGCAAGGCUGGAGUCUGGCAGAGGGGGGUAGAAUUCCACGUGUAGCAGUGAAAUGCGUAGAGAUGUGGAGGAACACCGAUGGCGAAGGCAGCCCCCUGGGUCAAGACUGACGCUCAUGCACGAAAGCGUGGGGAGCAAACAGG
rnacentral:rRNA from 1 species